GUGAUGCAGAGUAAAACUCAAAAAACGGUACUCAGUUCGGAUUGAAGGCUGAAAUUCGCCUUCAUGAAGCUGGAAUUGCUAGUAAUGGCAGGUCAGCAUACUGCCGUGAAUACGUUCCCGGGCCUUGUACACACCGCCCGUCACACCAUGAGAGUUGGGAAUACCCGAAGCCUGUGAGCUAACGCAAGAGGCAGCAGUCGAAGGUAGAAUCAAUGAUUGGGGUGAAGUCGUAACAAGGUACC
rnacentral:rRNA from 1 species